CCGCACUAUCACGUGAUCUUACCUUCUGUGUCUGUGAUGUUCAGUCUGAGUGGUCCAGGUAGGGGGAGCCUACGUAUUAUAGGAAGAUCCGAGGGUGCAAAGGGCUGAGAAGCCACCUACCAAGAUUUCAGCCUGAAACACUAAAGCCAGGGGUUCUCAGAAGCCUGUGGAAAGCUGCUGUGAAGCUCCCUCUGCACUGGGGGCUGGAUAAAGCCACCAAUGCAGGAUAAAGGCCUCUGCUAGGUUCCUCACUGGGGUUGGCAUGUGGGUCCUCCUGGGAAUGGCAUUCUGGGAAAUGUAGUUCCUGCUUUGCUUCUGAGGUGCAGAGGAGACCUAGACAGGGCUGGUGGUGAUGCUGAGUUGGCACCUGAAAACCCAGCACACGUCCAAGAGAGUCAUUCCAUCACCAGGAGAUUAGAGGAGGCAGGGUGGUGUGUGGGAAAGGCCUUGGGUCCAAGUGCCUCCUGUGGCACCUACGCGCCAAUUGGGCAAGUCACUCCACCCCUCAGGCACUUUGCCUAUCAGGAUCAAAUAAUAUAAGACACUGGCUGAUUCUCACAUCGUCUGUAACACAGUGGGCACUCAGUUAAGGUUGUUCUUGCACCUCCAGCUACAAACAGACAAGUGUAUUCUGAGGGCUAUUUGUCCGGAGAGCUCUUGAAUAUUUUGACACCAAUGCUCUUAGAGCAGAGAUUGCCAGUUGCCCCCAUCCCACUCUUCUUUCCGCCAUAGCAAUAGAGGCCCCAUGGCAGUUCUGAGGAAGUCACAUUCUGGCCUCUUUUGAAGCUUGGUGCAGCCACAUCCUCACCUGUGUCUGUAGCCAGAAGUGAUGCAUGCAAUGUCCAGGCUUGCCUUUGAAAGGAAAUGGAUUUGUGCUGCCUCCCUGCUCCCUCUUUCUGCUUGUUGUGAUGGGCCGUACUGAUGCGAGCAGGGCAGCCAAGCAUCAAGCCAGGAGGAAUUGGGCUCCUUGUCCCUCUGGGAUUGCCGCACCAGCCAGGACAGCUUGAGCUCAGACUAUCAGGGGAAGCCAUUCUGUGAACUGUCCUAUGGAGAGGCCAGCUUGGGGAGGAAUUGAUGUCUUCUAUCAGGAACCAUGAGAGUGAGCUUAGAAGUGGAUCCUGCCCCCUCAGUGAAUCCUGCGGCUCCAAGUGACAGCUUGACUGCAACAUCAUCUGAGACCCUAAGCAGGAGCCACCUUGCUUGGCCAGUCCUGGAUCCCUGAACCCUCGGAAACUAUGCUGAGAUGACUUGAGCCAAAUGAAAUUGCAUGUAUGACUGUUCAUUUCUCCUCACUCCACUCACGGUAGGUGCCAGAGACAGAGGGCCUCAAGCCAGGGAAGGAGGAUGUGACAUUGCUUUCCUCUUCGUAGAGGCGAUGUCACCCUUGGGCACUUGCUCCUAGAGAGCUGCAUGCAGCUGGCAACUGCACCAGCACAGCAAUAUCGCCCACAGCAGGCUCCGCUGAGGCCAAGCCCCACCCCGCCCAGGUUCCUACUCUCCCUUCUGCUUUGCAUUUUGUGAUGAUGGCAAAUCACUCUUUUCCAAACGAAAAAAGAAAAAUGCAAGAUCCAGUCUUGAGAAGGAAUGUUCUCACUUCUCAAAGAGCUACUGGUCUAUAAUGCGAGAAAGCUGGAAAGCUGUUUAUUGGAAGAACUGUGGAUGUUUCUUGUCACGAAGGCAUGACCCUAUGGCGCUGAAAGGCAUAUAUUUCGGAAUAACAACUUCUAGCAUAUAUUUUGGAAUGUAACCCUCUCAAAGAACUACCUUGCAGCUCUCAAGGACCACCGUGAUCUCAAGGAGAAGUUAUCUACGAGCAAAUAUAGAAGGGAGAGAAGGACCAGGAAGAGGCAAGUUGGCAGAACCCAGGAUAAAUCCACAUUUGGGGGUUAUACUGAGAACAGCGAGGAAGUUCUCUUACAACUUAUGACCAGAAUAUCCACUAGCAAAAUGUAGUGGCCUGUUUCCUCCAUCCAAAAGAGAAAUGGAAAGCCCCAAACUUGGGAUCAAGAAAGUGAAUAACAUAAUUAUAAAAGGGUGAAAGUCUAACACAAACUGUCCUUUUGAGGACAGCAGAGCCCAUGGGUCAGAAAAAGCCUAACAGCCCCUGACUUAACCCCUUUCUUACUGUGUGACCUUGGGAAGUGACCUAAGUGCUCUGAGCUUUUGACUUUUAUAGGUAAAGUAGGUAAUAAUACCAACCUCCUGGGGGUAUUCAGAGAGAGAAGUGAUAAAAUGCAAGGAAAGUAUUUAGCACAAUGCCUUGCACCAGGUUGUCAGUCAACAGUAGCUAACUCAGUAUCGAUGGCAGCCAAAACCACACAAGCACCACAUGCCCGAUGUCCGAUAAAGGCACGUUGCAGGGAUUUUGCCAUUAUUUCUGGUGCCAUAUAGAAUACCCCUUAGCUCCUGACCCUGGUACCAUUUUUUGCUGGUUCUGCCUGACUCCUGCAUGUUGACUCAGUUUCCAUUUUUAGCUCUAUUCCUGCAGGUUGGACCACAGAUGUUGGUUUUCUAGGUAAUCUCUAUCCGGAAUUGGGCCUAUUUGCUUAACACCUAGCACUACCACACAGGAAGGUGAGGAUGAGAUUUGGAUAGUAGGAUUUGAAAAAUGAGACACUGUUAAUUCAUGAGAAAGAAGUAUGAGGGUUUUAGUUAAUUGUAAAAUCCACACGGUCAGCAACAAAUUUGGGAGGAGGGGUGAGUGUAAUCUGAUUCCAAAACUCAAGGGGGGGCCUCCAAGUGGGCAUGUGCUUGAUUUUGGGCAGUAGAAAGAUCUAGCAAUAAGUAUUUAGUAGGCACUAUUUAUCAAGUAUUCACUAUAUACUAGACACUAUUCGUUGAAAUUUAUAAACAUGAUUUAAUAUAAUCCUUCAACCACUGUUAGAAAAGAUUGUACAAAGUUUUACCAACCAGGAAAUAACUUACUUGAAGUCAAACAGCAAGCAAGUAUUGAAUCUGGAAUUUGACACAGGCCUUCAAAGCUAAUAUAUAUUUUUUUAACAACUGAAUAACUCUAACAUUGGCCCCAAAUUGGGCCUUUCCUCAACAAUUAGUAAUUAUCACACACACAUAUUUUGUCUCUCCCUUCCUCUCAAACACUCAGAAGAGUUAGCUAGAAAAGCACUCAUAGAUUAUUAAUUUUUAGUGUCUCAUUUUUUAUGCCUCUCUUCUUAAAAACUAUGUUUUGUAUCAACAGAUCUUGCUCAAUCUCUUAGAGUUUUGGAGCAACAUUGUUACCUGAUUCCAAAGACAAAAUGAAAUGGCAUAAUAAAAUGAAAAUGGUUGUGUUCUUCAGCUUUAAAUGUGCAAAACUACUCUGCAAGUUAAGUAAGGCCUUUUGUUUGCUGGACUGUCAAAACACAUUUAGAAAACAUGGUUUUCAAGUGAUCUAUUUUAACUGGAACAUGAUAGAACUAAAAUUUAUCUAUUGAAGCUAAGCUGCAAACCAUGUCACAUAGGAAGGGUUGAAAAGAAAUGGGAAAACAGAAAACUAAAAGGGACAUAAUAGUUGUUUUCAAAUAUUGAAAGGUUGUUGUGAAGAAGUCAAAUUGAAUGUAUCCAUGUGGUCUUAAGGAGUGCAUAGGGGGCUGUUAGAUGGAAGUCACUAAAUGUAAUGAAUGUUCUUAUGUUCUUGUGUAUAUUCAGAUUAUUCUGUGUUCAAAGGGGGCAUUUUGGUGGCUAGUUGGGUUUUUGGCUCUAUAGUUGUCCAGCAGAGGCUGGCUUGAGGAUGGACUUCUUAUACUUGGACAGUGGGUCAGAUUAAUGACUACUAAGAGUCUGUAAUUUUACCCAUCAAAUUGCAUCAUCCAAAUAGGCAGGUAUACUCAUUGCUGUCGGAGGCUUUUGCAAGAAUCUGAGACAGACAGACUAGGAGUGAGGGUAGGGGUACCACUGCCCAUGAGACUACAGGAAGGCCUGGUGAGAGAAGGAGUGAGAUGAGAGAAGAAAUGGGAGAGCUGAGGUCAGAGGUCAAGGGAAGCGAAUUGAGUGUCAACCAUAGGUGGUAGAUAAAUAGAAGCAUGGUGCAUUGGUAGAGGUUGGAAUGAAGCAGGAAGUUAGAGUGCAGUGGGCAAGAAGGCAAUGUAGGGGAUCCAGUGGAUAAAGUUAGUCCAGGUCCUUAAUCUGCUGACACUGGAUUUAAAAAUGCAAAAUAAAUUUUUCUUAUUUCAAAUGCAAGACAUGCUCAUUACAAAAAUCUGAAAUAUAGAUUUUCAUUACACAAACAAGAAAAUAUAAAUUCCCAGAGUUCUAGUCAAUCAGAGAAAACUAUUAAAAACACGUUAGUAGAGCCGAGCGCGAUGGCUCAUGCCUGUAAUCCCAGUACUUUGAGAGGCUGAGACAGGAGGAUCACCUGAGGUCAGGAGUUGGAGACCAGCCUGGCCAACAUGGUGAAACCCUGUCUCUACUAAAAAUACAAAAAUUAGCUGGACAUGGUGGUGGGCGCCUGUAAUCCCAGCUACUCAGGAGACUGAGGCAGGAGAAUCACUUGAACCCUGGAGGCAGAGGUUGCGGUGAGCUGAGAUCGCCCCACUGCACUCCAGCCUGCAUGACAGAGUGAGACUCUGUUUCAAACAAAACAAAACAAAAACAAAAACUAAAACUAAAAAACACAUUGGUGUAUAUCCUUCUGAAUGCUUUUCUAGGCAUAUAUACAACACACACACUGACAUUCUAAAAUAAAAUCCAUAUACAUUUUCAUACAGUUUUAUGAGCUAUUUUUUUCAGUUAACAUCUUAUUAACAUCUUUCCUUUCAACGGGCCACUUCACAUGAUUAUGAAUGUUAGUCAUGUGUGUCAAGGUAUAAAUGGAUGUCUCAUAGUUUAUUUUAGCCUGAGGUUUUACAAUUUUAUUUUAAACACUGGAAUCCUUUCAUGAAACAAAAUCAUACAUGGGGCGUAGCAAAUAAACAGAUAAACAAAACAAACAGAGCAGCUCCAUUUGAUGAGUAAAAUUGCAAAGUCAAGAGUCAGUCAUAUUUUGAAAACUUUGGCUGUAUAUUACCAAAUUUUUUUCCAGAGAGAUUGUGAGAGCCUGUUUUAUUACCCUUUCACCAUCAUGGAAUAUUUUAAAAAUGUUCUCAAAUUUUGUCUUAUGAUGUUAAUGUGCC
rnacentral:lncRNA from 1 species